UGGGGAAUAUUGGACAAUGGGCGAAAGCCUGAUCCAGCCAUGCCGCGUGUGUGAAGAAGGUCGUCGGAUUGUAAAGCACUUUAAGUUGGGAGGAAGGGCAGUAAGCGAAUACCUUGCUGUUUUGACGUUACCGACAGAAUAAGCACCGGCUAACUCUGUGCCAGCAGCCGCGGUAAUACAGAGGGUGCAAGCGUUAAUCGGAAUUACUGGGCGUAAAGCGCGCGUAGGUGGUUCGUUAAGUUGAAUGUGAAAGCCCCGGGCUCAACCUGGGAACUGCAUCCAAAACUGGCGAGCUAGAGUAGGGCAGAGGGUGGUUGAAUUUCCUGUGUAGCGGUGAAAUGCGUAGAUAUAGGAAGGAACACCAGUGGCGAAGGCGACCACCUGGGCUCAUACUGACACUGAGGUGCGAAAGCGUGGGGAGCAAACAGG
rnacentral:rRNA from 1 species